ensembl:misc_RNA
AUGAAAACCUUGAAGACUGAAGUCCACUGUUCACCCACAGAACAGAUACAGCCCAGGCACCAGAAGCAUAUCGUCUCACCCUAGAUUAGAGAGCAGUAUCUCUAGUUUCCAUGUUCUUUCAAUUGCGGCCAUUU